CUAGGGAAUCUGGAUUGGAUAUGCUAUCCAGGCAAGAGCUUGGAGAUGUGUGAAAUUACUGCUGAGAAAGCUAAUCAUCUUCCACUUGCGACCGAGAUGAACACACCACGAAAGACAUACUUGGAGGAGAUUAACUCAAAAUUCAACAAUUUACAAGGAAUAUACCCGUCCGCGAAGACCCGGAGAGGGAGGACCGCGCCGUAAAUGAGAGAGUGGUCCUACGGUGCGACAAGGGGGGAGAAUUAAAUGCAACUUUUCAGACUAUGACUGAUCUGAUGAGUGAAACUUUAAGCUUAAAGACCCAGCUGCAUAUGGCCGUUCGGGCGGUCGGAGAAGCGGCUGAGAGAGGGGAUCUUAAGAAGCCCCAACAAGAUGGCGCUGAGCAGAGGGAAGACUGCGUGGAGGAGCCGGAAGAGAGGGAUGGAGCUUCGGAAGAGCCCAUGAGGGUUCAGCCAGUAACUCUGCCCAGCGACGUAACGUCGAUUCUGCCAACCACGCCCCUCUGCCGAAGGGAGGGGGAGUCAAGCGGAGGAGUGCAUCCACCCCUCCCGCCUGAAACAACAACAACCCCCACUGUAACAAUGACUACAGCUCCGACAGAAACAGCAACAGCAACGACAACUCGCGAAGAAAUUGAUCAGCCUGCAGCAUCAAGCAGCCCAGUCAUCGGUCCGCAGAGUGCAGUUCAUGCUACCACCUAUUACGCUCGUUCCAGAGCUGAACUGCAGAAUUUGUGUAGAGAAUCCAGGAUCUGAUCCGAAGAAACUCUGGCUGUGUGGUUAGGACGUCUAGUCGUGGAACUUGGGUCUGACCUCCUGGACCAGGAAGAAGCAAGCUUCUUGGUGAGACAAGCUUCAUGGAGUAGGGGACAUGUCACCGACAUCGACAUGGUGGCGUUUAGCAUCCACUGGCCUAUUCCGAUUCCAGCGCUUGUGGCAGGAGUGAUUGAACAGAAGGCCCACGCAUGGUACGACGGAUGACCAGAGCACACCGGUGCAGAACAGCUUGUACUGGCUAUUAUCGGAGUUUCCUAUUGCGCCUGGAACCCAAGAGAAUGCACUUUGGGACUAACACUGCUCCAACGAAUGUGACCAUGGCCUCACCGUCACCUGCGAGACCCUGGAACCGUUCUGGUGACUCUCGACAGCAUAGAUAGUUGUCUUAAAGUCUACGGGCAAAGAAACAUCGUGGUUUUGCGGAUUGUGCUGAACCCACUGGUCGAUCUUCCUGUGAGUAGUCUCCUUCAUCAGUUGUCAAGACUGCGUGUCCUCAUGGAGCCAAGACUAUCCAGUGAUCGGGAGUGUCAACGCCCGACUGAGGCUCAGAACACAAAACACCGCGAAUCCGAGCGUCCCGUAUUACGCCAGAGAACGCAAGAGGAGAGAUACAUGUUUGGAUUCCUCCUACAGCGUUCUGGACUUAAUAAGAGACAACUUCGGAUUUUAGGAGACGCGGGACAGUGGCAGCUAGCCUACGAGUUAGGUUUUCACUAUCUAGAAGAAGGCGACGAUGACUCCUCGUUGAUUUCGUCGAGUUGCUGAGUCGGAAAAGAGAGAAAGCUGUCCAGUAUAGAAUCGUGUUUACAUAUCUGUAUUUAAUAGUAAUGAUAAGUUUGAUCGACUGCAUUAUCGUGCGGUCCUGUGUGAUUUUGUAAAUAAUAGUGAAUAACCAUUUUAAGAGAGUUCUUUUACAGAUCAGGGAUUCGGAGUGCGUGGUGGAGAGAGGCCCCGAGAGGGACAACAUCACCGAAAGGAACGAGGGCCUGACGCGCGAUUCCACCAUGCCGCCCACUGAAGUCAUGAUCGUCCAGUUUUUUGUUAUGAAUGUGAUUUUAUGUAUAUGUGUGUGUGCCGGCUAUUAUUUGAUUCGAUCCCUUGAGGACGAACUUUUAUUGUUGACUGAUUUUGUUUUUGCUCGUUUAGUUUCGCGAACCAUUGACAGAGCUAUGAAUAACCCGGAUGAUAGGUUUGAAGUAUAAUUCUAUUGUGCCUUCAGCAAGGGGGGAUGUCAUGACCCAAAGGUCUGAUUUUUUUUGUGUGUGCUUCGGCACUCGAAUUAUCCCCGUGGGUUUACAGCUUCAUUGCACGGAGGAGUUCUGCUGCGCAGAGAACCCGCGUGCAAAGGAGUGUUCCCGCCACUUUGCAGCGGUCUUUGCAGGGUGCAUUUCCUUUGCAACACCGAAAUGCACGGUGCAAAGAGUUCCCGCUCGUCGUAUGCAAAUUCGUGCCCCGCAAUUGGCUAGUGCUAAAUUAUUCCCACGUGGCGGCUAGCGAUUGGCCUGCUAGCCGUAUAAGAGGCUUGAGCAGUUUCCGCCCAAGCUGAAGAGGACUCCGCAUCCAUCUCGUGGGGACUCUGGGUGUGCGCGGCAGGGUAAUAGAAACCCUGUGUGUUGCUCAGAGGAGUUUGGCGGCCUGAUCCACUGCCCACCUCUUCCUGUCUUCGAACGGAACCUUCUAUAAGACGUAUCGACGAGUUUUAUGCGCGCUUGUCCUGGACAUCCGGAGUUCUGUCUGCGUGGAGCCUAGCAAACUUCACGUGAUUGUUCGUGUUCUGUCUGCGUGGAGCCUAGCAAACUCCACGUGAUUGUUCGUGUUUUCUGUUUGUAACCACAACUCAAGCAAGUCUCCAGCCUGCACCGCGACCAUCUCGGUGUAAGUAAACAAUCUUAAAAUCAA